rnacentral:rRNA from 1 species
GAUGAACGCUGGCGGCGUGCCUAAUACAUGCAAGUCGAGCGAACAGACGAGGAGCUUGCUCCUCUGACGUUAGCGGCGGACGGGUGAGUAACACGUGGAUAACCUACUUAUAAGACUGGGAUAACUUCGGGAAACCGGAGCUAAUACCGGAUAAUAUAUUGAACCGCAUGGUUCAAUAGUGAAAGACGGUUUUGCUGUUACUUAUAGAUGGAUCCGCGCCGCAUUAGCUAGUUGGUAAGGUAACGGCUUACCAAGGCAACGAUGCGUAGCCGACCUGAGAGGGUGAUCGGCCACACUGGAACUGAGACACGGUCCAGACUCCUACGGGAGGCAGCAGUAGGGAAUCUUCCGCAAUGGGCGAAAGCUUGACGGAGCAACGCCGCGUGAGUGAUGAAGGUCUUCGGAUCGUAAAACUCUGUUAUUAGGGAAGAACAAAUGUGUAAGUAACUAUGCACGUCUUGACGGUACCUAAUCAGAAAGCCACGGCUAACUACGUG